rnacentral:rRNA from 1 species
UGGGGAAUAUUGCACAAUGGGCGCAAGCCUGAUGCAGCCAUGCCGCGUGUAUGAAGAAGGCCUUCGGGUUGUAAAGUACUUUCAGUCGGGAGGAAGGUGGUAAGGUUAAUAACCUUGGCAAUUGACGUUACCGACAGAAGAAGCACCGGCUAACUCCGUGCCAGCAGCCGCGGUAAUACGGAGGGUGCAAGCGUUAAUCGGAAUUACUGGGCGUAAAGCGCACGCAGGCGGUUGAUUGAGUCAGAUGUGAAAUCCCCGGGCUUAACCCGGGAAUUGCAUCUGAUACUGGUCAGCUAGAGUAUUGUAGAGGGGGGUAGAAUUCCAUGUGUAGCGGUGAAAUGCGUAGAGAUGUGGAGGAAUACCGGUGGCGAAGGCGGCCCCCUGGACAAAGACUGACGCUCAGGUGCGAAAGCGUGGGGAGCAAACAGG